ensembl:piRNA 21ur-9472 ncRNA
UCGCAUAGUUCCGAUAGUCUU